rnacentral:rRNA from 1 species
AUUGAACGCUGGCGGCAUGCCUUACACAUGCAAGUCGAACGGUAACGGGCCUUCGGGUGCCGACGAGCGGUGAACGGGGGAGUAAUACAACGGAACGUGCACGAUCGUGGGGGAUAACGAGGCGAAAGGUGUGAUAAGACCGAAUACGAUAUAAGGAAGAAAGCAGGGGACGGCAAGGGCGAGAGAGGGCGGAGCGGCCGAUGGUAGAUUAGGUAGUUGGUGGGAUAAAAGCUUACCAAGCCGACGAUCUGUAGCGGGUCUGAGAGGAUGAUCAGCCACACUGGAACUGAGACACGGCCCAGACUCCUACGGGAGGCAGCAGUGGGGAAUUUUGGACAAUGGGCGCAAGCCUGAUCCAGCCAUGCCGCGUGCAGGAUGAAGGCCUUCGGGUUGUAAACUUCUUUUGUUCGGAACGAAAAGCCUUCUUUUAAUACAGGAGGGUCAUGACGGUACCGUAAGAAUAAGCACCGGCUAACUACGUG